rnacentral:misc_RNA from 1 species
UGGCGACCAGGUUGGCGCCGCGGUACAUGCUGCCCGAGGCGUGCGUGUAGGCGGCCAUGGGGUUGAUGGUCUUGAAGUUGACCGAGCAGCCGCGCACGAGGCCGAGCAGGUCCUUGUGGUGGUGGCGGUCGCAGAAGUAGUAGUGCGGCUCGCGGCCGUUGAUCUGGGCCAUGGCCUUGAUGGGGUCGCCGUAGGCCGUCUGCGUGAUGUCG